GGAUUUGAUAAACUUGUUCACAAAAACCCUAUGAGGCAUUUAUUAAAGGCUAUAAAAACACUCUCAAUCUUAGCCUGAAGGUGUAAUAUGUGUUUAAAUGUGCUGGCUUGGGUUUGUGAGGGAUGUUCCCCUGCACCCUGCCCACCCAGCGCCCCCUUACAAGGCAGAGAAUAUAGAGCUAAUAAUUAGCCUAACCUAAUUUCUUUCCCAUAACAGGAGAGGGAACAGAUUACUUUAAGCUAGCUGUCCUUAGUUGAUCUAGCUGGAAGUGAAAGGACUAACAGAACAAAAGCUGAAGGGAACAGGUUGCGAGAAGCAGGUAACUGUCAAAUGGACUUCAGACUUCUCUUCAUUGUGACCACUUCCUAAAGCAGAAGGGACCAAGAUGUGACUGGCUGUUUGACUGCAACUCACUUCUACUCCUGGCUUGCUUCGAUGGCAGCUGCCAAAUGUAGCCAUGACAUGACGUGGUUUUGGCAGGCUUAGAAGCCUAAGAUGGCUAAAAUGCUUCUCAAUCCUCCACAAACACAAGCACAUACCUGGCAAUUAAAAAGGACUUCAGUUGGAAGCUGAGGAACAAUCACCUGUUACAUUUGCUGGGGGCUUGGGAAAACUUCCUUCUUGAGAGACAUGGCUGGCACUGCAUCUCUGUCAUAGAUAAAAGGAAGGACCCUGCUUGGAAGCACAUAGAUAUUGCACACCAAGUGACAGCACACAAGCUGUUACACAUAUACAUAGCAAAAACCCAUAUGCAUUGAAGAAUGCUCCUACUAACUUCUCCCUCUGGUACUUCAGAUGUCACUCAAGAAUCCGGCCCCCUGAACUGAGACUUUCACAACAUGUUCAUUUUGGUUCAGUACUUUGUGCAAUGCUCACAGACUCAACAAGCCACCAUUAGUUUUCUUAUUGGAAAAGAAUUUUCCUUUAUGGGCAAUUGUUGAAUUACAUGUAAACAUGUAAAUAAGAACAAACAAAUAAGGAAACAAAACGGAGUAUUUUCCUUUGGGCUCACCUCUUCCGAAUUUGCUUGUAGUCCCUGCUGGUCAUGAAGAGUUAUCACAGUUCCUAGAAGUAUUUUGUUGUGCUUGCUCUCCUAUUUCAUUUCUUAAGAUGGUCAUGUGGAAUUUGGCACCACUGUGACAAAAUCAGUCCUCAAAUGCAACAGCUCGAGCAUUUGAUUUCCCAGCUGAGUGUUCCAGAGAGCUCUGGCAAACCACACUGAACAACUGGGAACUGAAGCUAAACUUGCUUUUCUGCUGUAUGAAACAGCAACGACAGCAAUAAUGAUCAGAAGCAACACAAAUGUAGGUGGGAAAAGCAGAAAGCAAUUUGAUUUUCAUCAUGAAAAUAGCACUAAAUAUAAGUGUCUGUUUUCAUUUUGAUCUUAUCUAAAGUAAUUGUACAGAGCUUAGACUCUGCGCAAAUACCUAUUUGAGAAAAAGCUUGGUGGCAGCAGGGCCUUAUCUGAAAAAAUACGGAUAGAUUUUAGGUAAAUGCAAUGGGCCCUUCUGUAAUGCUUUUCUCUUGCUUAGCUUGGGGAAACUAAACAUCACGUAAUUUCAUUGGAGUCCUCGUGUUUAAUCAGUGAAGCACAUUAGCGUUCUGAAGAUAAUACACCAACAACUAAAGGCUGGCAUCUGGAUGAUGUGCUACGAGAUAUGGUUUAGUAGCUUAGUGGUAGUAAUGGUGAUAGGAGGUCAGACUAGAUGAUCUGCUAGGUCCUUUCCAACCUUGUGAUUCCAUGAUUUCUAAAUUUGGCCCAAAGCACAGAGUUGUAUACAAUUUCUAAACUAGAUCGGUCACUGCUUGCUAUUUUCAAGUUAAAAGCUUCCCUUUCCCCCCACCAGUCUACCAUUCAACUUCAACAUAAUCUCUCCGAUUAAAAACAAAACAAAAACAAACCCAUAAAAGCAAACCAAACCAAAACCUGAAUAAAACAAAUAUAUAGAAGUAAGCGUGCUACAGAUGAAAGCAUCUAUUAAAUUGUGCAACAAGAGACUUUGUUUUAGCCACUGACAAUAGUAGCUUUUGCAGAAAUCUACGAGGGCUGCACUGAGAGCAAUAUCUCCUAUUUUAAUAUGCUGGUCCACAUCGGAGGUGGAUGUUGGUAGUAUGGCAGUAGAGGUUGAACCUUCUGCCAAUAUUCUGUUACAUGCUUUUGCUGUGACAGAUGGCAGCAGAGGAGCAGUCUGACAGAACAAAACCUGACAUGGAAGUGUAUAUGAAGCAAAGGGGUGUAAUUGAAUUCCUCCAUGUGGAAAAAAUGGCACCCUCUGACAUUCAUUGACACUUUACUUCUGGAGCAAUUUACACAUCCUCUGAAGAUCUGGCUGUAUGAGUUGUAUAUAGACACCUUACACAUCUCUUUAAUCUUUUUUUCUUCACUCUUUAUGCAGUGAAUACAUAUGUAUGUAUUUGCUUUGCUGAGGCAUUUUGGAAAGCUAUGCAUGCUUAAAUACGAAAUAUGAAUCCAUGGAAGCUGAUGUGUCCACAGAUGGUCCAGCUGAGAUGGAGUACACUCCAUGCUACAUGCUACACUACAAACACUUUAUGACCAUCAGUCUGUUUUCAUUGAAAAAGUGGUCUUAAAAUUUGGUUGGAGAGAGAGUUAAGUUAUGAAACAAACGUCAAAUAGAAGUACUGACUGUGUUUUAGGAGGCAUAUAAGCAUGUCUUGUACUUCAGCCUUCCUCUUCCACCCCCAAUCACUUCUGCUUCAAAACAGUAACCCAGAAGUGCUGCAUGGGCUUCAGGUUGCGAUGGUUUUAAAACAGUAACACAACUGCACUAAGUACUUUCCAAUCACUGAUUUAACACAAAAAAUAUGGUCAUCCCAGUAACCUGAGGUAGGUCUGACCGAAAAAAAAAAAACAACUUCUGAAGAUCAAAAUGUGGCUCUGAAAAACUAUUAGGAAUGUAACUACAGCAGUAUGUUCAAAUAAAGUAAUUUUACAUUCAAACAAAGUAAUUUUGCAUGCUUUUAAAAUGCAAAAGGAUGGUCAUGCUUGCAUCUUGCAGUGGGAUCUAAACAGGGAGAGGAAAGAUGAAAUGGCAGUAGAUUCACUGCCCUGCAGUUUGUUGACAAAUGUAUUUACAAAGAUUUGGCCCAUACUGAAAAAACACACUGACAUCUUGUCCCUCCAUCUAAGAUAUGAUGUGAAGACUCACCUACUUGCUCACAUUUCUGUCCAUCCUUAAAAGCAAUAUUUUUUUUACUCUUCCAAGAUACUCAGCAAAGCCUGCAUAUGAAGAAAAGUAAUUAAAUAGCUUCCUAAAAAUACUGUCCUACCUGCUCUUUGGUUGUGCAAGCACUUCUACAGCACUUACCCAUCUCUCUCUGGACAUUCAAGGUCACUCAAGGAUGCAAACCAGUGGUCAGGCAAUGCAUGAAUAUCUUUUACUUAAUCUUUGACUUGAAAUCAGCCUCACCACCACCAAGAAGUAAAACCAGCAAGUUUUCUAUUUCCUAAGCUUCCCAAGCACAAAGAGCUCAGUCGUUCAGAAACACCAUCAGAACUGCUCACAUUUCCAUGGCAUUGAGAUUCCUGCUGAGACAAUCUGUGUAAUUCUGAGCCCAAACCACAAGUAUUUACUCCCCAAGCGCAGCUUCAGUUCAGCACUGAGACGAGCUUCAUCUUCAGAGUACAGAACUCUCCCAGUGUGAAAUUCAACCUCAGUGUAAUAGAUAUUAAGAUCAAAUUUGCAUAAAGCGCUUAUCUAUCAUACGGCAUUGCUAUCGGAGCAUAUAAUGGAGAGAUCCUUAAGCAGAUACACAUCCCUUAAUCCUCCACAAAAAUGCUUCAUAUUUCUUUCUGAAGGGAGAAACCAACAACAAAUGCAGAAUCAUGAAAAGUACAGUGCAUAGCAAAGCUGUUUUUGAUGAGAUGUUUGUCUUUGUGACAAACAACGAAUUCUAUUAUUGUUAUAACUAGAGCUAAGGAAACGAAAAAAGCCACAAAUAUCAUAAGUGCAAAGGUAUUCUGGCAAUCCUGGGAGACAGCUUGCAGCCUGUUUAAAGGAUAGCAGUAUUUUCUUAUAAAUCCUGCAGUGAUUUCGUAGGAAUCUGUACAGUUUUCCUUUAAAACAGACAACAGAUCCCGAAGGGAGAUUCAGGAGUCAUGAGGUUUUCCCACUCAUUGUGAAUUUAUGCAGUUCUUUAUGAGGCUCUUGUGCUGACUAGCAUUACUCCCCAGUCAAUCUCACAGCGAUUUUAGAAAGGCUGUGGGAAGUUAAAUAUUAUUUGGGCAUAUUAUUGCUCAGUUGACAGUAGCUAUAACUGCCCGUUACUCAGUGUUAACUUACCAAAGGCCAGUCUUUGAAUAAAAUUCUAGAUUCACAAACAGAACCAGCUAGCCCUUACAAUUUGGGAUACAUCUUUGUUUAGACAUUUUUUUUGGUGCAAUUUCUACCUUAUAGAAUGGUGCUUUCUCUGUUGUUUCCUUUACAGUUAUGUCUUUAACACCAUCUCUAUUAUUAAAUCUCUAUCAUCUCUAUUACUAUAUUAAAAUAACAAACCACACAUGCACUUCAAGCUUAAACACAGUUACACUUUCAAUAAGAUUUACUCUAGAGAAGCUGCCUAAAUGAGAACAGCCUUAUUUGGACUCAUAUACUGACUGUAUUUCCACCUACCUGGCAGUUUACAGAACAGAGUAAUAAGUUUACAUAUAAAAAUGGUUUUGCUCAUUAUUCUUCACACCACUAUCAUUCCAUAGCUGUAUAUAGCAUUGGGAAGCAUUUGCAUUUUGCAGACACAAGGCCUUCCCUCUGAUUCCACAGCAGUUUUCAGAGUUUCAGCACAAAACACAGCUGUUAGGGAAACAUGGAGCAGUUCAAAAGAGACGCGAUGGGUGACAGCCAGCACCUUGGUUUGUGCUGGGAAGACUGCUUUCGGUAUUCCCUCACAUACACUCAAGAAAAAAAAUGGCACAUGUCAGGUUCCUCUGGCUCACAGAAGCAAGCCAGCCUCAGUACUGCAGAGCAGUGGGUUUUCCGCCCUGCUCUGAGCUGGAAAGGUCAAUCAGGAUGCACAUGUGCAUACAGGAGCUGCCCACCACAGGACUGGCUCCCCUUACAGACCUCUUCCUCCUGCUCAUCUCUUUUCCCUUUCCCACCCCCGGCCUUCAGUAGCGGUACAGCUACACUUGUCUAACAGUCUCUUAUUAUUUCCAGCACAUACAAAUGAGUGGUGAGAGAUUAUUCCCUACCUUGCAAAGGCGAAUAAAGACACAUAAAGACUCCAUUUAAAAUCAUAGGCUGCCUCUUUGCAAAAUAAAAUCAAAUCUCCGUGUAAUUCAGUGGAGGUAAUGUUUGUCACUUGGCUUUUACCACCAUGGUAAAUCACGGGUUAUUUCUCAUCCCAAACCAGAGAACAUCCUGAUCUGCUAUAGACAUGUUUGCUGGCAACUAACAUUCCACUUCCAAAUCUUCCUUAUGAUUUGUGAUAUAAAUUAAGACUUCAAUUCAGACAAAUGACAAGAGCCAAAAAGACCACCACUACAUUUAAUUCUGAAGCAGUGUCCACAGAAAAAUAGUGUGAAGUGGCUGCACCCCAGGCACAAGAAGGAAUUUCAGACCCCAGCUAAGGUGUUUGUGCUAUUUCCCCAUUCACACUGCCACAGCCAAUAGCUGAGGGUUACAAAUCCCACAGAAAGUGGCAGCUCAUCUAUUUCACUGGCAGCUGCUCCAUCCCCAGAGAUACACGUAUUUCCUUCAGUGAAAACACGAUACAAAACACUCUGCUUUCCUUCUGUGUGAGCUGAACAAGACUCUUGAGAUUUUGGUUUGUCUGCAGUCUGCAAUGAUAUUCCAUCUGUCAGCAUGUAAUAUUUUUUCUUUUAAGCACUGUUGUUUUGUGCAAGACUCGCUAGAAACAUAUUGCUUUAGAUGCCGGAAUACAUCAGAAAGAGCAUCAUUCAUGUCAGGAGUUAACCGUAUUUAACACAGGAGCUGUUGAUCACCACCCUGUGAAUAUCUCCUGUUUUGUGUCAAAACUCAUACUGCUGCACUGCUGUACAAGCAGCCUGCUGCUGAAAGGGCAAUGCCAUUGCGCACUGCAUGUCCUGACCAAGUUUGCAAAGAUGAAUCUCACACUCCUUCAUCCAAACACCCCGAAUUUCACUUAGGACACAGCCUAUAAAGUUUUUCAUGUAGCUCCCAGUACAAACAGGCCAAAUUUAGAGUUGAUACCAUCUUAAAACAGACAGUUAUAAUGAACAUGCUGUUAUUAAUGCUUAUAACUGAAAAAGAAAUCUUCAUUUUGACCCCUCCAAGUACCUACUAGAGGGUGACCCGGAGUUACAGAAUUGGAAGCAAAGGGAUACAGGAGAGUUGGCUGACAUUCAAGCACCACUUCUUUCAAGAUCAGUGCACCUCUGAGAGAAAGAGAUCAGGCAAAAGUGGCAGGAGACCUGCGUGGGUAAGCAAGAAGCUCACUGAAAAACUCAAGAAAGUCUAUGAGGAAGAGGGAUUUGGCCACUUGGGAGGAAUACAGGAAUGCUGUCAGGGCUUGCAGGGAUACAACAACGAAGGCUAGUGUCCAUUUGGAGUUAAAUGCAGCGAGGGAAGUCAAGGACAACAAGAAAGCCUCCUUUAAGCACAUCAAUAGCAAAAGGAAGACUAGGGAAAAUGCGUAUCUGCUGCUGAAUGAGGUGGGUGCCCUGGUAACGAAGGACACCAAGAAGGCAGAUACUGAAUGCCUUCUUUGCUUCGGUCUUUCCUUCUAAGCCUGCCACUCAGGAAUCCCAGAUCCUGGAGACAAGAGAAACUGUGUGGGGAAAGGAAGGCUUCCCUUUGCUUGAGGAAGAUCUGGCCCGUCUAGGCAAACUCAGUGCACAGAAAUCUACGAGCAAAAGGUGGUGCAACCAUGAAUGCUGAGGAAGCUGGUGGUGUCCAGUACAGGCUCCAGUCUUUUUUUAACAUCUCCAUCAAUGAUCUGGAUGAAAGAUCCACGUAUGAUGGAGAAUCAUGAGAGAAUGUACUCUCAUCAAGUUUACUGAUGAUAUGAAGUUGGAAGGAGUGGCUGACAUUACAGAAGGCUGUGCUGCCAUUCAGCAAGACCUGGACAGGCUGGAGAGUUGGCAGGAAGGAAAUUCAUAAGAUUCAACGAAAGCAAGUGAAGAGUCCUUCACCUAGGGAGAAAUAACUGCAGGCAUCAAUACAGGUUAUGGGCUGAGCAGCCAGAGAGGAGCUCUGCAGAAGACCUGGUUGUUCUAGUAGAAAACAAGUUGAUUCACAAGUCAGCAACAUGCCUCUGUGGCCAAGAAGGCCAGUGGUAUCCUUAGGUGUAUUAAAAAGAGUGGGGCCAGCAGGUCAAGGGGAGGUGAUCCUCUCUACUCUGCCCUGAUAAGGCCAGAUCUGUAGUACUGUGUCCAGUUCCAGGCUCCUCAGUUCAAGAAAGACAAGAAACUACUAGAGAGAGUCCAGCAGAGGGCUGGAAAGACAGUGAGGGGCCUGGAGUAUCCAUAAAGGGGAUAAGGAGAGGGGAGGAAAGGCUGAGAGAUCUGAGUAGGGGAAGG